rnacentral:rRNA from 1 species
CCUACGGGAGGCAGCAGUGGGAAAUUUUCCGCAAUGGGCGAAAGCCUGACGGAGCAAUACCGCGUGAGGGAGGAAGGCUCUUGGGUUGUAAACCUCUUUUAUCAGGGAAGAAAAAAACUGACGGUACCUGAUGAAUAAGCAUCGGCUAACUCCGUGCCAGCAGCCGCGGUAAUACGGAGGAUGCAAGCGUUAUCCGGAAUGAUUGGGCGUAAAGCGUCCGCAGGUGGCGAUGUAAGUCUGCUGUUAAAGAGUUUGGCUCAACCAAUAAAGGCGGUGGAAACUACAUAGCUAGAGUACGUUCGGGGCAGAGGGAAUUCCUGGUGUAGCGGUGAAAUGCGUAGAGAUCAGGAAGAACACCGGUGGCGAAAGCGCUCUGCUAGGCCGUAACUGACACUGAGGGACGAAAGCUAGGGGAGCGAAUGGGAUUAGAUACCCCGAGUAGUCCUAGCCGUAAACGAUGGAUACUAGGCGUUGUCUGUAUCGACCCGGACAGUGCCGUAGCUAACGCGUUAAGUAUCCCGCCUGGGGAGUACGCNCGCGAGUGUGAACGUACAAGUAGUAGUAGACGCGAGAGACGCGACGACGACGACGACGAGGAGAG